AGUGAACGCUGGCGGUAGGCCUAACACAUGCAAGUCGAACGGAAGCACAGUAAGAGCUUGCUCUUACGGGUGGCGAGUGGCGGACGGGUGAGGAAUACAUCGGAAUCUAAUUUUUCGUGGGGGAUAACGUAGGGAAACUUACGCUAAUACCGCAUACGACCUACGGGUGAAAGCAGGGGAUCUUCGGACCUUGCGCGAUUGAAUGAGCCGAUGUCGGAUUAGCUAGUUGGCGGGGUAAAGGCCCACCAAGGCGACGAUGCGUAGCUGGUCUGAGAGGAUGAUCAGCCACACUGGAACUGAGACACGGUCCAGACUCCUACGGGAGGCAGCAGUGGGGAAUAUUGGACAAUGGGCGCAAGCCUGAUCCAGCCAUACCGCGUGGGUGAAGAAGGUCUUCGGGUUGUAAAGCCCUUUUGUUGGGAAAGAAAAGCAGCAGGUUAAUACCCCGCUGUUCUGACGGUACCCAAAGAAUAAGCACCGGCUAACUUCGUG
rnacentral:rRNA from 1 species